rnacentral:rRNA from 1 species
AUUGAACGCUGGCGGCAUGCCUUACACAUGCAAGUCGAACGGCAGCACGGGAGCAAUCCUGGUGGCGAGUGGCGAACGGGUGAGUAAUAUAUCGGAACGUGCCCAGUCGUGGGGGAUAACGUAGCGAAUGCUACGCUAAUACCGCAUACGAUCUAUGGAUGAAAGCGGGGGAUCGCAAGACCUCGCGCGAUUGGAGCGGCCGAUAUCAGAUUAGGUAGUUGGUGAGGUAAAGGCUCACCAAGCCGACGAUCUGUAGCUGGUCUGAGAGGACGACCAGCCACACUGGGACGGAGACACGGCCCAGACUCCUACGGGAGGCAGCAGUGGGGAAUUUUGGACAAUGGGCGCAAGCCUGAUCCAGCAAUGCCGCGUGCAGGAUGAAGGCCUUCGGGUUGUAAACUGCUUUUGUACGGAACGAAACGGUGAGCUCUAAUACAGUUUGCUAAUGACGGUACCGUAAGAAUAAGCACCGGCUAACUACGUGCCAGCCGCCGCAGUAA